rnacentral:rRNA from 1 species
GACGAACGCUGGCGGCGUGCCUAAUACAUGCAAGUAGAACGCACAGUUUAUACCGUAGCUUGCUACACCAUAGACUGUGAGUUGCGAACGGGUGAGUAACGCGUAGGUAACCUGCCUGGUAGCGGGGGAUAACUAUUGGAAACGAUAGCUAAUACCGCAUAAUAUUAAUUAUUGCAUGAUAAUUAAUUGAAAGGUGCAAUUGCACCACUACCAGAUGGACCUGCGUUGUAUUAGCUAGUAGGUGAGGUAACGGCUCACCUAGGCGACGAUACAUAGCCGACCUGAGAGGGUGAUCGGCCACACUGGGACGGAGACACGGCCCAGACUCCUACGGGAGGCAGCAGUAGGGAAUCUGCGGCAAUGGACGAAAGUCUGACCGAGCAACGCCGCGUGAGUGAAGAAGGUUGUCGGAUCGUAAAGCUCUGUUGUAAGAGAAGAACGGGUGUGAGAGUGGAAAGUUCACACUGUGACGGUAUCUUACCAGAAAGGGACGGCUAACUACGUG